GCUCGGCAGCCGGGUUCCUGUAGCAGGCAGGACGACAGGCAGGAGGACACGCAGGCAGAGAAAAAUCUACUUUCAAGAAUGAAAGCAAUUCUCAAGACCUUCACCUUUUUCACCGAGCCAGAUUGGUAUUUUUCCAAGGAACAGAUGCAGGACACCCAAAUUUCAAGCACAACAUCAAAGAAGUCCCUUCUGCUCAUUUCAUUUUGUAGAAGAAGAGAAGAAUAAAACUUCUCAUAUCUCCCUGGACUGCACAAGCGUGAGCGCUGUUAGUUGUCACUCACACAAGCAACACAGGAGCAUAAAGAGGGUCAACUGAAGGAUCAGCUCAUUACUGUGAUUUAAGAAUAGAGGGGACAAAUGCGGUUCUCAUCAUAAAUAUUUUCUUUCUUGUUCUGUACUGCAAAAGGAAAGACAAUUAGUGCUGUGCUUCAAAGUCACAAUUGCAAUCCCAAUCUUAUCGUUCAUGUUGGGUUUAAUAUAAACAAAGUCUAAUUGCAUAUACAGCUUUGUAAAUCCUCAGCAUCAGUGGAGCUACCCUGGUGGGAGAUCAGUAUUAGGUACAGUAUUUCCUCCCUGCCAGUAACAGGUUUUGAAUGGAAAGCCUGGAAUGUAAAAAAAGAAAUAAUGCUAAAAAUCCAAUCACUCUGACAUCCUGUGAGCUAAUAAGAGCACGUGAAUGCAACAAGCUUAGUACUUCACAGUAAUUAAUUUGACAGCAAAGAGCUAACAAGAAAACAACAGGCAGAGCAGUGAUGACUGGUUCAUAGAGGUCACUGUCAAACAAGAAAUAGGUGCAAACACAGUCCCUCUCCCUUUGGAAACAACUGUUUCAUUGCCCCAAUAAGAAUAAAAUGCCAAAGGGGGAAAAUAUCAUGGGUUUCGUGGGGAUAUCAAAUCUGAGAAGGUAUUUCUAGUAGUAAAAUAAGGUAGAGGUUUUCUUUUUUACAUAUGGUGAUUUUUAAUCAUCCCUGUUACUCACUACAGUGGCAUGUUUUGGCUUUUGCUUUCCCACCCCCCUCCCCCUUUCUCGGUUAGCCAAAGCCAUUUUGCAUAUUCAAAUAUUGGGAAGACUUAUCUUCUCUCACAAUUACUAGCAAACUAAUACACUAAUAACCUUUAUUGUUAUUUAAAGUGUGUCCAACACAGUGUUCUGGAGGCAGUUCUCACACAAUGGACUCUCUCUGGCUUCCUCCUAGAGAAGAACUUAAUCAAACCUCACAUGCUUUCAGGCAGAAGAGCCUUCAGGGAGAGCAAACAGGGUUAACAGAACGAAAUGUGCCAUCUGAUUUCUAAUCUUGCUCAGGGAGCAUGGCCUAUUGAUUGAGCCAUAAAGCUCUGUUAAUUUUAAGAUAUCCUCAGCUUUCAGUUCUUUCCCUUGGGCAUAAACUUGUUGCUUACACGUAGUGGCUGAGCUAUCAGGGAAAGGGUAGCUUCAUCCUCCCCCUCUCCACUCUCCUCCCCUCCUCCCCUCUAUUCUAUUUGUUCUGAGCUCAUCUGCGUGAGGAUACAUUUUCACACACACCUUCUCAAACCGGCUGCUAUUCAUCUGAUUCAGGGUCAUGCUUUUCCAUACAUUAAAUGCAAGGGAAAACUGGGAAGGAAAUGGCUGGGAUUUGUGCUUGACGGGCAAGCACACGAUUAGCCAGGGAGCCCUGCUGUGAGAAAGUACUGCGUCGGAGGGUAUUUUCUGUGGAAUCAUCAAGUCUCAUGACUGGAAUCUGAUGCUUAUAAAAAGCUACUAGUAUAAUGAAAACAGUAUACACUGAGAUCCUCAGCCAGUGGGAAUCGGCUUGUUUCUGAGAGAUCAAACCGCUACAGAAUCACUGAGUGGGUAAGGUUGGAAAGGACAAUCUGAUCCAACCUCCCUGCUCAAGCAGGGUCUUCCUAGCUAUAAUUCUUCCUCUAUAACCUAGAUAUUUGCUUGUGCACAUUUUUCUGGUGGAGGCAGAAGUCACGCUUUUGGAGAGGCCAGUUAGUGUGGCCCUGCACCUUCCUGAGUUGGUGGAAGCUCUGGAAACUGAGCAGUGAUGGCACAAAGCAGCUCCCUCAUUCUGUGUUUCCAUGAUACCCUCAGUGGGACCACAAACAAUUUACAUUAGUGAAGGAUCUAGCCCCUCAUCUAUUGCUAAAGCACCUUUUAUGCUCCUAAACCAUUAAUAAUAUCUAUUAGGUAACCCUACUAAUCCCUUUGAGGAAGGAUUUUCUUUACUGUACUGGUGGGUGAACUGAAUAAAAGCUUCACAUAUAAGAAGCCUGG